CCUGCGUGGGGGGAGAAAGAGACAGAGUCUGCGCGGGGGAGAACGGGGCGCGCAGCCGUCUCAAAUCACUUCUGCGGGUUUUUUGUUUGUUUGUUUUUUGUUUUGUCUUUCCUCUAGGGUCCAUCAGCAGGCCCACUGCGGUACUCUGAUGAACGCCAUGACAGCCUUACUAGUUCCUAAAAGAAAAUUUGGAAAUACUUGGCGGGGCGUGGUGUGCUACAUGCAGAAGGAUGUCAAAUUUGAGGUCAGCCUGAGCUCGCUCUCUCUCUCUCUCUCUCUCUCUCUCUCUGUAUGUAUGUAUAUAUUUAUACACACACACAUAUAUAACAAUAUACAUAUACAUAAGCAAGACCCUGUCUCAGGGAAAACUUUGUCAGGAACAGUCCCUCAGAAAACCUGGCCCUUAUCUCUGGGACCUGAAAUGUCUCUACGGUUUAUGAAUAAUGGCCUGUCUGCUUACUGGAAGCCCAUCUUGUGACUGUCCCAAGCCUGCACCAUUCCUCCCAACUUCUGCCUGUGUGAGCUCUGGCUCUGAGUCCCCCACCUCCCAGUACCUCUCUCAAAACUCCAAAUCUUACUUUACACAAUUCUCUCUCCUCCUCUUUCCUUCCAUUUCUCCCCUCUCUCAGCCCAGGCUGGCUUCAGGCUGAGGCUGGAAGAUUGUAAGUUCAAGACCAGACUGCACAACACAAUGAGUUCUGAGCUAGCCUGGCCUACACUUACUGGGAUAUCGAACUGGAGUUGGAGGCAGCUGAUAGAUGCCAGGCGGGUGCCAGGAACUGAACCCAAGUCCUUCAGAACAGAGACGAGCUCUGAAGAGCCAACUGUCUGGGCCGAAGGAGCUAUGUUUGAAUUUCCAGCACUUACGUAAAAAGCCAGACAUAGCUAUAUGUGCUGUAAUCCUAGCACUGAGGCCGACUGACAGACCCCAGGAGCUUUCUGGACAGUCGUCCUAGCCUCUGAGCUGCUGGCUUUGGUAAGACAUCCUAAAGUCAGUGAAACGGAGAGCAAUGGGGGGAGGGGGGGGUACCACUUUUUCUGCUAUGGCCUUCGCAUGCUUCUCACCUCACAUCAAAGGAAAAGUAGAUUAGUGGCUGCCAGAGAUGGGAGAUAGGACUUGGGGUGACUGCUAGCAGGAAUAGUAGAAAUAUCCUAGAAUUCAAUGGUAGCUCUGGCUGGCCACAGAAUCUUCUACUUUAAAAAAUAUUGAUAUUUUAUGUGUGUGGGUAUUUUGCUUUCAUGUAUAUAUGAGUACCAUGUGCAUGCCCUGGUGCCUGCAGAGGUCAGAAGGCGGCAUCAGAUCCCCUAGGACUGUUGUCACAGAUGACUGUGAAUAGCCAUGUGGGUGCCGGGAAUCAAACCUGGGUCCUCUAGAAGAGCAGCCACUGCUCUUAACUGUUCAGCCAUCUGUCCAGCCCUUUAGGUUUGUUUUGUUUGAAAAGGCGUGGUUUCAUAUAGUCCAGGCUGUCCUGGAACUCACUAUGUCGCUAAGGAUUUCUGAUCCUCCUGCCUCCACUUCCUGAGUUCUGGGAUUGCAGGUUUACACCACCACACCCUGCUUGAUUUUAUAUUCUACGACGUAAGCAUUUCUAAAGUGUCCAGAACAGGAAAAUCUGUAGACACAGACUAGUGAUGGCUUAGGGAGAAGGAGAGGAAUUAGCUGGGGAAGGGAUUGGGGGCAACGGCUAAGGGGAUCAAGGUUUCUUUGGAGGGGCAGUGGAUUUGUCACUGAGCCUAAGGAGCUGAGCCACCCCUGGGACCCACAUGGUGGAAGAAGAGAACCAACGCCAGUACAAGCACACACACUUUUUCCCCUGAUGAGUGUAGAAAAAUGUUUUGAAGGAUUUCUUUUGGAAGCCAGGGAUGGCAGAUGACUGUAAUCCUAACAUUCAGGAACUUCAGUGGUUGGCUCAUGAGUUCAAGGGUAGCCUGGGCUACAUAGUGAAACCUCAUCUCAAAAGAAAAUAAAAUGAAACAAAACUUAAUGAGCACAAAUAAAAAUUUAAAAAAAGAAAGAAACAAACAAACAGAAAAAUAACUUGGACCUCUGGGAGCUGUCAGAGACUGAGCUACCAAGCAAACAGCAUACACGGGCUGGACUGAGGCCCUAGCACAUAUGUAGUUCAGUCUCCAUGUGGGUCCCCAAUGUAGCCUGCCCAUGGAAUCCAUUCCCCAACAGGGCUGCCUUGUUUGGCCUCAGUGGGAGAGGAUGUGCCUAAUCUUGCCGAGACUUGAUGCAACAAGGUCGGGGAUACCUGAGGGGGGGGGACCCUCUCAGAGGAAAAGGGGAUGGAGGAUGGGGGUAGAGACUCUGAGGGGGGAGCCCCAGAGAGGAGGUGGCAUUUUGGAUGUAAAUAAAUAAGUAAAUAAAAAAUAAAUCAUUGUAACUGGGCAUGAUGACACACGUGUUUAUAAUGCCAGGACUUGGGAGGCGGAGGAAUGUGGAUCUCUAAGAGUUCACGGCCAGCCUGGUCUACAAUAGCGAUACUCUGUGUUUAAAAUAAAUUCUGUGCACACACUAAAGCCUCUGGGCUGCACAUGUCCCUGAUUUGCCUGGUAGUGGGCACUCUAGCCAGGGCUUCACGCAUGCUAGGCGGAUGCUCUCCCACUGAGCUACACCCCUAGCCUUCCUCUUUACUCUUACAAGGUAGUGUCUCCCUAAUUUGGACAACACGCUAUGUAGAUGGCGCUGAGACUCCCGAGUAACAGGAAUUACAGGCAUGGGUCAGCAGCCCUGGCUAACUGCAGAUGUGAGUAAAUUGUCACUGUGCAAACCAUAUUUCUACGUGUCAUGGUUAGUGCGAUCCAUAUUCCUAUGGUUACAUCUUAUCAUCAGCUGGAACCAUGGUUUCUGCUUUAAUUUCUCCUGUCAAAUUCAUGCCUUGGCUUUCUCUGAUGCCAGGUAAACCCUUUCUUCCCUAAAUUGUUUUUGGUCAAUGUUUUAUCCCAGAAAUAGAAUCCUGAGCAAAACCUGAGUGAAACCAGUAAGUCAUUUAAAAACAUAUUUGAACCUUUUAUAAGGUUUUUCAUUUACUGUGGGUCACAGUGGAAGGGCAGUGACCACAGUCAAACCUGGGCCGAUGAGAUGAGAUGCAUCCACAGGAACGAAGCCUGAAAGCCCAAGCCCGAGUUAGAUCUCCAUAACCCACGUGGUAGGAAGAAAACCGAUACCUUAAGUUGUUCCCUGACUGCUACCUUUGGCCAUGGUAUAUGCGUGCAUACAUACAAGUAAAUAAAUGUGAGAAAGGAUAUUUAAAAAGGAGAGGAGCCAGAUCUCAAAAUAACAAUCUAUGCUCACAGAAGAACCGAUUUGAGCUUUGUUUUUCGAGACAGGGUUUCUCUGUGUAACCCUGGCUGUCCUGGCCCUCACUUUGUAGACCAGGCUGGCCUCAGAAAUCUGCCUGCCUCUGCUGCCUGAGUGCUGGGACUAUAGGGGUCUUACUACUUGAGAUUCUCCUGCCUCAGCCUUCCAGGUGAUGGGAUUACAGGUGUGUAGCUUAUGUGCCUAGAACCUUGGAGUCGCAGAGCACAGCCCUGGAAGCAGUUGAGAGGCCAGAGGAACUCCAUUGUCUGCCUUGGGGAUUUAUAAGCUCAUGGAAAAUUCCAAAGCAGAACUAUCAAGGACAGUCAGCCUGGCGGUGGCAGCCAGCACUUGCCAGGAAUUUUCUAAAGUUUUUGUAUAGCAGGUAGCACAGUGGCUCAUGCCUGUAACCUAGGGCUUUCAGAGCUAAGACAGGAGGGUAGCCUUGGGAUUGAGGCCACCUGGAGCUACGUGGAGGAUUCCAGGUCAGCCUGGGCUACAGAGCGAGACCUUGUGUCAAACAAAAUAGAAUAAAAUAAAAAGAAUAAACUAAGAACGGGAUCCACCUUCGAAAGCCAACAGCUUCCAGAGGGCUAUAGCUUCUUUUGUUGAGAUGCCUGCAAGAUGUGGAAACAGUUUGUGCUCCCUAGGAGAAGAAUUGGAUGAGGCUGAUCAAGGGCUGUCCUGUCUGUGUUAAAAUACUGGUCCUUCAGAGAGCCACUGCCCUUACUGCCUACAUCUUGAAAACAUUUGGAUGUCGAUGCUGUACCUUAAGAAAAAAAAGAAAAGGAGGCAAACAUGCCUAAACACAGCAAAUCCAAAGAAGAAAAGUGGAUGGCCGUCCGGAUUAAGAUAAGUCCUGUAGGGGUUGGAGAGAUGGCUCAGCGGUUAAGAGCACUGACUGCUCUUCCAGAGGUCCUGAGUUUAAUUCCCAGCAACCACAUGGUGGCUCACAACCAUCUGAAGUGGGAUCUGAUGCCCUCUUCUGGUGUGUCUGAAGACAGCGACAGUGUUCUCACAUAAAAUAAAAAUAAAUCUUUUUUUUUUUUAAAGACAAGUCCUGUAAUAGCCAAUGAGGAGGCUCAAUGGGUUAAGACACUUACUGCUCUAAGGUUGACGUCAUCCUUGAAACCCUUGGUAGUGGGAGAAAACGCUGGAGCUUGUCUGAGGUAGCAUAUCAAUGGGUUGAUUUUGAGCUUAGCAUGCACAAAGCUCUGGGACAGAUUUCCAGCGCCUCAUAGACAGGAUAUGGGGCUGCAGAUCUGUAAUCUCAGCACUUAGGAGAUGGGUAGUGUUAGCACUGGCUACCUCAUGAAUCUGAGGCCAACCUUAACUCCAACCCCCCCCCCCCAAACAAAAAUGCCCUAGGUCCAAAGAUAAGAGAGAGAAAAAAAUAAAAAAGGUUUGCGAAAUGACUCAUUUAAUUAAAGUACCAAGGACAGGUUGAAUUGCUAGCAUCUUGGCAAAAGCCAGGCAGGUGUGGGCACCGUGAGUAAUCACAGCACUGAGGAGGCAGAGACUGGGCAUCCUCAGGGCAAGGUGGCUAGUUAGAUUGGCCAAUUCAGCAAAAGACCCCACCUCUACAAAUAAAGUGGAGAAAGACCGAGGAAGACACCUGGCAUUAUCCUUGAACAUCCCCAUAUAUACCUGUGCACACAUGCUGUGCACCUGUACACAUACAAACCCUCAUUCAUAUAUACAAGCGUACACGCACACAUAUGCACACAUGCAUGUGCGUGCCAAAGGAAAAAAAAA